rnacentral:lncRNA from 1 species
GAAAAAUUGUUUCCCGGACUCAAAAAUUUUUGCAGAACAAAGAAAAAUAAAAAAAAUAAAUUUUCGGACUAACGUCAAUUCAAUUAAGGUUUAAAACACAUUUCCCCCCAAAAAACUUCUUAAAACACUUAUUAAAACGCUUAUUUUCGAAAUUUCGGGGACACUCUUACACUGUACCUCCAAUAGGCCCUGUAAUUUUCCCCAUUGAAAAGUCUCUGCACGAAUUUUUUUUUCAGACAUUUCUGGUGCACGAAUUUUUUUUUCUUUCUAUUUUCCCUGCUCGGAUUUUAUUUUUGUUCCCCCCCCCCC